UGUGUGUGUGUGUGUGUGUGUGUGUAUAUAUAUAUAUAUAUAUACACACACACACACACACAUAUAUAUAUAUACACACACACACACACACACACACU
rnacentral:miRNA from 1 species